rfam:Oryza sativa Japonica Group DNA, chromosome 10, cultivar: Nipponbare, complete sequence.
AAAAAAAGAAACUCUGAGUUUCCGUGUCUAACUUUAACUGUCCGUCUUAUAUGAAUUUUUUUUAUAAUUUAUAUUUUCAUUGUUGUUAGAUGAUAAAACAUGAUUAAUAUUUUAUGCGUGACUUGUCUUUUUAAUUUUUUUUUAUAAAUUUUUCAAAUAAGACGGACGGUCAAACGUUGGACACGGAAAUCAGGGUUUGUCUUUUU